GACGAACGCUGGCGGCGUGCUUAACACAUGCAAGUCGAACGGAAAGGCCCUGCUUUUGUGGGGUGCUCGAGUGGCGAACGGGCGAGUAACACGUGAGUAACCUGCCCUUGACUUUGGGAUAACUUCAGGAAACUGGGGCUAAUACCGGAUAGGAGCUCCUGCUGCAUGGUGGGGGUUGGAAAGUUUCGGCGGUUGGGGAUGGACUCGCGGCUUAUCAGCUUAUUGGUGGGGUAGUGGCUUACCAAGGCUUUGACGGGUAGCCGGCCUGAGAGGGUGACCGGCCACAUUGGGACUGAGAUACGGCCCAGACUCCUACGGGAGGCAGCAGUGGGGAAUAUUGCACAAUGGGCGGAAGCCUGAUGCAGCAACGCCGCGUGCGGGAUGACGGCCUUCGGGUUGUAAACCGCUUUCGCCUGUGACGAAGCGUGAGUGACGGUAAUGGGUAAAGAAGCACCGGCUAACUACGUG
rnacentral:rRNA from 1 species